rnacentral:rRNA from 1 species
CAAAGGUGAGCCAGUACAGGAUGGACCCGCGUCUGAUCAGCUAGUUGGUAAGGUAACGGCUUACCAAGGCGACGAUCAGUAGCCGACCUGAGAGGGUGAUCGGCCACAUUGGAACUGAGACACGGUCCAAACUCCUACGGGAGGCAGCAGUGGGGAAUAUUGCACAAUGGGCGAAAGCCUGAUGCAGCAACGCCGCGUGAGUGAUGAAGGCCUUCGGGUCGUAAAACUCUGUCCUCAAGGAAGAUAAUGACGGUACUUGAGGAGGAAGCCCCGGCUAACUACGUGCCAGCAGCCGCGGUAAUACGUAGGGGGCUAGCGUUAUCCGGAUUUACUGGGCGUAAAGGGUGCGUAGGCGGUCUUUCAAGUCAGGAGUGAAAGGCUACGGCUCAACCGUAGUAAGCUCUUGAAACUGGGAGACUUGAGUGCAGGAGAGGAGAGUGGAAUUCCUAGUGUAGCGGUGAAAUGCGUAGAUAUUAGGAGGAACACCAGUUGCGAAGGCGGCUCUCUGGACUGUAACUGACGCUGAGGCACGAAAGCGUGGGGAGCAAACAGGAUUAGAUACCCUGGUAGUCCACGCUGUAAACGAUGAGUACUAGGUGUCGGGGGUUACCCCCUUCG